UACAGAGGUGGCAAGCGUUGUUCGGAAUUACUGGGCGUAAAGGGCGCGUAGGCGGCCUUCUAAGUCAGACGUGAAAUCCCCCGGCUUAACCUGGGAACUGCGUCUGAUACUGGGGGGCUUGAGUAUGGGAGAGGGAUGUAGAAUUCCAGGUGUAGCGGUGAAAUGCGUAGAUAUCUGGAGGAAUACCGGUGGCGAAGGCAGCCCCCUGGGCUGAGAUUGACGCUCAGGCACGAAAGCGUGGGGAGCAAACAGG
rnacentral:rRNA from 1 species